rnacentral:rRNA from 1 species
UACGGAGGGGGCUAGCGUUGUUCGGAAUUACUGGGCGUAAAGCGCGCGUAGGCGGCUUUGUAAGUUAGAGGUGAAAGCCCGGAGCUUAACUCCGGAACUGCCUUUAAGACUGCAUCGCUAGAUUUGUGGAGAGGUGAGUGGAAUUCCGAGUGUAGAGGUGAAAUUCGUAGAUAUUCGGAAGAACACCAGUGGCGAAGGCGACUCACUGGACACAUAUUGACGCUGAGGUGCGAAAGCGUGGGGAGCAAACAGG